rnacentral:sRNA from 1 species
AAAAUCUCUCUCUCUCUCUCUACAAUUUUUUUCUUCUUCUUCUUAAAAUUCUUCUGUGAAGUGUGCUUCUUCAAUUGGUAAUUCGA